rnacentral:miRNA from 10 species
CCAAAUAUCAGACAUGUCAACA